UACGUAGGGGGCCAGCGUUGUUCGGAGUUACUGGGCGUAAAGGGUGUGUAGGCGGUCCCCUAAGUUUGGUGUGAAAUCUCCCGGCUCAACUGGGAGGGUGCGCCGAAUACUGAAGGACUAGAGUACGGGAGAGGAGAGUGGAAUUCCUGGUGUAGCGGUGAAAUGCGUAGAUAUCAGGAGGAACACCGGUGGUGUAGACGGCUCUCUGGACCGUAACUGACGCUGAGACACGAAAGCGUGGGUAGCAAACAGG
rnacentral:rRNA from 1 species